GGCCCCGUCGUCUAGGCUGGUCCAGGACACCACGCUUUCAAUGUGGUAACACGGGUUCGAAUCCCGUCGGGGCUACCA
rnacentral:tRNA from 1 species